rnacentral:rRNA from 1 species
UAGUCAUAUGCUUAUCUCAAAGAUUAAGCCAUGCAUGUCUAAGUACACAGACUAGUACUCUGAAACCGCGGAUGGCUCAUUAUAACAGCUAUGAUUUGAGAGAUUUAAUGCUUGCUACAGGAUAACUGUGGUAAUUCUAGAGCUAAUAUUUGAAAAAAUGCCGUGACUUCGGAAGCGGCGGAUUUAUUAGAUCAAAAUCAACCUACCGGCAACGGUGGUCUUUUGAUGACUCUGGAUAACUGAACUGAUCGUACAGCCUUGUGUUGACGACAUAUCUCUUGAAAUGGCUGACCUAUCAACUUUCGAUGGUAAGAUCAAAGCUUACCAUGGUUGUAACGGGUAACGGGGAAUCAGGGUUCGAUUCCGGAGAGGGAGCCUGAGAAACGGCUACCACAUCCACGGAAGGCAGCAGGCGCGUAAAUUACCCAAUACCAGCUCGGUGAGGUAGUGACAAUAAAUAACAAUAUGAGCCCUAGUGGUUUCAUAAUUGCAAUGAGAACAUUUUAAAUACUUUAUCAAGUAUCAAUUGGAGGGCAAGUCUGGUGCCAGCAGCCGCGGUAAUUCCAGCUCCAAUAGCGUAUAUUAAAUUUGUUGCAGUUAAAAAGCUCGUAGUUGAAUUUGAGGUUUCUGUGUGGCGUGUCGGUCUUUGAUUGACUGCUGUAUGGAUCCUUCAUGGCUGUGUCUAUAUUGGAUGCUCUUUAAUGGGUGUCUAGUGUAACCGGCAAGUUUACUUUGAAAAAAUUAGAGUGCUUAAAGCAGGCUUUUGCUUGUAUAUUGUUGCAUGGAAUAAUAGAAUAGGACUUCGGUUCUAUUUUGUUGGUUUUCGGAACUGAAGUAAUGAUUAAAAGAGACUGCCGGGGGCAUAUGUAUGCUGGUGUGAGAGGUGAAAUUCAUAGAUCAUCAGCAGACAAACUACUGCGAAAGCAUUUGCCAAGAAUGUUUUCAUUAAUCAAGAACGAAAGUCAGAGGAUCGAAGACGAUCAGAUACCGUCCUAGUUCUGACCAUAAACUAUGCCAACUGACAGUUAGCGACGGUAAUUUUAAUAUCCUUGCUAGAAGUCACCGGGAAACCAAAGUCUAUGGGUUCCGGGGGAAGUAUGGUUGCAAAGCUGAAACUUAAAGGAAUUGACGGAAGGGCACCACCAGGAGUGGAGCCUGCGGCUUAAUUUGACUCAACACGGGAAAUCUCACCCGGUCCGGACACUGUGAGGAUUGACAGAUUGAUAGCUCUUUCUUGAUUCGGUGGGUGGUGGUGCAUGGCCGUUCUUAGUUGGUGGAGCGAUUUGUCUGGUUAAUUCCGAUAACGAACGAGACUCUAGCCUGCUAAAUAGUACAUUUGUGUUUGAUCGCAGAUGCUGACUUCUUAGAGGAAUAAAUAGCGUUUAGCUAAAUGAAAUUGAGCAAUAACAGGUCUGUGAUGCCCUUAGAUGUCCGGGGCCGCACGCGCGCUACAAUGGCAGUAUCAACGAGUUUUAUUCCUGGCUAGAAAUGGCUGGGCAACCUGUUGAAACACUGUCGUGUCAGGAAUAGUGGAUUGAAAUUAUUCCACUUGAACGAGGAAUUCCUAGUAAGCGCAAGUCACUAGCUUGCGCUGAUUACGUCCCUGCCCUUUGUACACACCGCCCGUCGCUACUACCGAUUGAAUGGUUUAGUGAGAUUGCUGGAUUCCGGUCUAUGAAAUGGUGACAUUACUAAGACUGGGAGAAGUCACUCAAACUUGAUCAUUUAGAGGAAGUAAAAGUCGUAACAAGGUUUCCGU